GCUUUAAAAGUUUCACUGAAAGUGCCAACUUUAAAUUAUUUGGUAAAUGACACUUUAAUCUCAUUAUUUACCAAAUCACACUCCAUAACAACAGCCAUAGACAUUCAUAAAGACUCCUUCAUGUUCAGGACAGGUGUUAUAUCAUGUUUAUGACAGUACCAUAUAAGUCAUAUGCUCACCCUUUGGAUAAAGUGUUACCUUUUUUUUCUGUGUUAUCGAUGAACUUUUUUUCAGAACGUUGACAUGGUUUGGAAUGAGUUUGUUAAAAGGAUGAAUAUUUCUCUGUCUCUGUCACUCCGUUCUAUAAUCACUCAGCUUCAGAAUGAAAGGCUGCUGGAUCCUGAUCAGUUCCAGUUAAACUUAUGAGAGGAUCUGGAUCACAAAUGUAUCAAAAAAACAAACAUCCUGGACACCAGAACAGGCUCUGACCGUCACUGAUAGGAUAGGUGAUUUCCAGUACAUGGAAAUGGUAAACAGACUGAAUGUACGUAGCAUUUCUUUAAUAAUAAUAUUAAAGAAAUGCUACGUGUGUGUGUAUGUGUGCGCACAUGUGUGUGCGUGUGUGUGGACAGGAAGCUGGCGUAAUGCAACUAUUAUCCUGAACGUAAAAAAGGAGGUCAUUUUGGCUUCAGGGGAUGUGAGAGCUAUUCAAUUUCUUGUGGUUUUUUUUUUUUUUGUCUUGAAGCUUGGUGGUAAAAUAUGAAACGUUCUGCUGUGUUCAGUGUUACAAAUUAAUCACAAAGAUUCUUGGACUUUUUAAAAGCAGUGUAGCUUGGAGUAAAGGAAUUCCUUAAAGGUUUGUUUUGAUGCCAUUCUGUUUGCUAAAACUAGUUAAUUUCUGCUCAUGCAUUAGCUGCACUUCGCUCGAGGCCUGACGUCCAGUUUUGUAAAAAGCAAUGUGUUUUUUUUUAUAUCCUGCACUUUGAAGUAAGCCAUCAGUGGACAGGACAUGCUGUUAACAUGUUUGCUCAUAGCCAUGUUUUGUAUUCUUUAUUUACUGAGCGUUUCUGUUUGGUUCACAUUUCUGUAAUUGUGUUUUUUUGCAGCUAUGCUGUUUUCACAUAUUUUUAAAGCUAUUUAUGCCUAAUAUAUUUGCUGUACAAAAAAAACUCAUUGUUGACUGAAAGCCAUUAAAUGUAAAGACCAGAUGGACAUCUGUUCCAGCUUUGUUCUUACUGCAUUCUUACUCAGCUGAAACUGAAAAUGAUAAAUGAUGUGAACGUCUUGGGAAAGUGUCCACUUCCUGUGAUGACUGAACUCAGUUCUUACUCUUAUUAGUAAGGCAACAACUGUCUAGUAUGUUGUCUAGUAUGUUUAUAGUUUUGGACAUUGGUUGUGAAAUGGCAAUACAUAACUAAACCAAACUGAAUCAAACUACCACCUUGGCAGUGGGAUGAUGGUUAAACCAGCCUGAGCCAUAAGCAAACUAGGCUUCUGGUUAGGGCCCCUAAUUCAUCAGAGAGCCUUAAAGAAUGCUUCAUUUUCCCAGAGAUCAGAUCAGAUCUAUGAAAUUCUUAUUAGUUUAUUAAGAAUAAGCAUGCAACUAAAUUUGACCUAAUAUUUCAGAAUAGAUAAAAACUUCAAAAUUGCUUAAGAUCUUCAAUUUUGCAGGUGCAAAAAAUAUAGUUUGAUGGUAGAUGUUGGGCUUAACAGGAAGAGGGCCCCCAAAUAAAAUUUAGUUUCAGGCCUCACAGCUUUGGACAGGCCUUGAACUGGAUUUAGCCUCAUCGUCAGGGUCUACAUGCCUUUUUUAAAAAGAAAUGAAAAGCCAGGAUUGCGCUUACUAACGUCACAAGCUGCCUUUCUGUUUCAAGUUUUCUUUGCUGAUAUUUUUUCUGGUGUUGAAUUUAUUUGUAUUUAAAUGUCGCGCCAGGAAACGAACCUUCAGUCAGUAGCUGAUUGUAGGAAUGUUUCUCCACCAACUUCAUGCAUCACAUCUGGAGAAAUGAACGACUGUUACCAAUACAUGUGUGUAUUUAAUGUACAUGUACAUCAAUAAUGGUGCUUGACCCUUUAUUAAAUGUGGAUUUCACUAUU